UCGCCUGUUUAUCAAAAACAUAGUUAUCAGAAGUUAUUGGUAAUUUGUUCUGCUCAAUGAAUAAUUAAAUAGCCGCAGUACUCUGACUGUGCAAAGGUAGCAUAAUCAUUUGGCUUAUAAUUGAAGUCUUGUAUGAAUGAAAUGAUGGGGGACAACUGUAUCAUAAAUAUUGUAUAAAAUUACCUGAGAAGUGCAAAUGCUUCUAUUUAAAUAAUAGACGAGAAGACCCUUGAAAUUUUAAGAAGAGUGUUAAUAAGGAUUUUUGUUGGGGCAACAAUGUAACAGAAAACUUACAUUUUGAACAUGAAAUAAAAUGGAUUGAUUAAAUUACUCUAGGGAUAACAGCGUAAUAUUAAAAUGUUUGCGACCUCGAUGUUGGAUUAGGAAACAAAAGC
rnacentral:rRNA from 1 species